UAUAGAUAUAAAUGGUAAAAGGUUUUUUAUCAAGUCCCUUUCAAGUUAAAAAUACCAUGGAAUCUUCAACACUGUGGUUUUUCUCUUUCCUGUGUCUCAGCAGACUUGUGUUUGUGUUUGUGUGUGUGUGUGUGUGUGUGUGUGUGUGUGUGUGUGUGUGUGUGUGUUUGAAAGAGAGCUAACGUAGGCCCAAGCAACAGCUUGUUCUAGAAAGAUCUGGGAGGGGCAUGGAGUGAGAAGUUCACAAGUUCAGAUCCGGCUCCUGAGAGAGAAGUGUCCAGCCAAGUUGGCUGUCCUUAAAUCACACAAAGCAAAAUAAAUGAAGGCCAGGAUGCAGACAUGAUGUCCAUGUUGAAGCCUCUGGUGGAGACAGGAGUAGUGUGGAGAACACAUCCUACCAGCAGACUGGGAACGAUCAGGUGGAGAACACAUCCUACAGCAGACUGGGAACGAUCAGGUGGAGAACACAUCCUACCAGCAGACAGGGAACGAUCAGGUGGAGAACACAUCCUACCAGCAGACUGGGAACGAUCAGGUGGAGAAAGGAGUGGAGAACACAUCCUACAGCAGACUGGGAACGAUCAGGUGGACACAGGAGUAGUGUGGAGAACACAUCCUACAGCAGACUGGGAACGAUCAGGUGGACACAGGAGUAGUGUGGAGAACACAUCCUACAGCAGACUGGGAACGAUCAGGUGGACACAGGAGUAGUGUGGAGAACACAUCCUACCAGCAGACUGGGAACGAUCAGGUGGAGACAGGAGUAGUGUGGAGAACACAUCCUACCAGCAGACUGGGAACGCGGCUCAGAUCAGGG
ensembl:lncRNA